rnacentral:rRNA from 1 species
UACAUGGGGUGCAAGCGUUGUUCGGAAUUACUGGGCGUAAAGAGUGUGUAGGCGGUGCUCUAAGUUCGGUGUGAAAUCUCCCGGCUCAACUGGGAGGGUGCGCCGGAAACUGGAAUGCUUGAGCGUGGGAGAGGAAAGCGGAAUUCCUGGUGUAGCGGUGAAAUGCGUAGAUAUCAGGAGGAACACCUGCGGUGUAGACGGCUUUCUGGACCAUUGCUGACGCUGAGACACGAAAGCGUGGGUAGCAAACAGG